GGGACACGUGGUAUCCUGUCUGAAUAUGGGGGGACCAUCCUCCAAGGCUAAAUACUCCUGACUGACCGAUAGUGAACCAGUACCGUGAGGGAAAGGCGAAAAGAACCCCGGCGAGGGGAGUGAAAAAGAACCUGAAACCGUGUACGUACAAGCAGUGGGAGCCUCUUAAUGGGGUGACUGCGUACCUUUUGUAUAAUGGGUCAGCGACUUAUAUUCUGUAGCAAGGUUAACCGAAUAGGGGAGCCGAAGGGAAACCGAGUCUUAACUGGGCGUUAAGUUGCAGGGUAUAGACCCGAAACCCGGUGAUCUAGCCAUGGGCAGGUUGAAGGUUGGGUAACACUAACUGGAGGACCGAACCGACUAAUGUUGAAAAAUUAGCGGAUGACUUGUGGCUGGGGGUGAAAGGCCAAUCAAACCGGGAGAUAGCUGGUUCUCCCCGAAAGCUAUUUAGGUAGCGCCUCGUGAAUUCAUCUCCGGGGGUAGAGCACUGUUUCGGCAAGGGGGUCAUCCCGACUUACCAACCCGAUGCAAACUGCGAAUACCGGAGAAUGUUAUCACGGGAGACACACGGCGGGUGCUAACGUCCGUCGUGAAGAGGGAAACAACCCAGACCGCCAGCUAAGGUCCCAAAGUCAUGGUUAAGUGGGAAACGAUGUGGGAAGGCCCAGACAGCCAGGAUGUUGGCUUAGAAGCAGCCAUCAUUUAAAGAAAGCGUAAUAGCUCACUGGUCGAGUCGGCCUGCGCGGAAGAUGUAACGGGGCUAAACCAUGCACCGAAGCUGCGGCAGCGACACUAUGUGUUGUUGGGUAGGGGAGCGUUCUGUAAGCCUGUGAAGGUGGCCUGUGAGGGUUGCUGGAGGUAUCAGAAGUGCGAAUGCUGACAUAAGUAACGAUAAAGCGGGUGAAAAGCCCGCUCGCCGGAAGACCAAGGGUUCCUGUCCAACGUUAAUCGGGGCAGGGUGAGUCGACCCCUAAGGCGAGGCCGAAAGGCGUAGUCGAUGGGAAACAGGUUAAUAUUCCUGUACUUGGUGUUACUGCGAAGGGGGGACGGAGAAGGCUAUGUUGGCCGGGCGACGGUUGUCCCGGUUUAAGCGUGUAGGCUGGUUUUCCAGGCAAAUCCGGAAAACCAAGGCUGAGGCGUGAUGACGAGGCACUACGGUGCUGAAGUGACAAAUGCCCUGCUUCCAGGAAAAGCCUCUAAGCAUCAGGUAACAUCAAAUCGUACCCCAAACCGACACAGGUGGUCAGGUAGAGAAUACCAAGGCGCUUGAGAGAACUCGGGUGAAGGAACUAGGCAAAAUGGUGCCGUAACUUCGGGAGAAGGCACGCUGAUAUGUAGGUGAAGCGACUUGCUCGUGGAGCUGAAAUCAGUCGAAGAUACCAGCUGGCUGCAACUGUUUAUUAAAAACACAGCACUGUGCAAACACGAAAGUGGACGUAUACGGUGUGACGCCUGCCCGGUGCCGGAAGGUUAAUUGAUGGGGUUAGCGGUAACGCGAAGCUCUUGAUCGAAGCCCCGGUAAACGGCGGCCGUAACUAUAACGGUCCUAAGGUAGCGAAAUUCCUUGUCGGGUAAGUUCCGACCUGCACGAAUGGCGUAAUGAUGGCCAGGCUGUCUCCACCCGAGACUCAGUGAAAUUGAACUCGCUGUGAAGAUGCAGUGUACCCGCGGCAAGACGGAAAGACCCCGUGAACCUUUACUAUAGCUUGACACUGAACAUUGAGCCUUGAUGUGUAGGAUAGGUGGGAGGCUUUGAAGUGUGGACGCCAGUCUGCAUGGAGCCGACCUUGAAAUACCACCCUUUAAUGUUUGAUGUUCUAACGUUGGCCCCUAAUCGGGGUUGCGGACAGUGUCUGGUGGGUAGUUUGACUGGGGCGGUCUCCUCCUAAAGAGUAACGGAGGAGCACGAAGGUUGGCUAAUCCUGGUCGGACAUCAGGAGGUUAGUGCAAUGGCAUAAGCCAGCUUGACUGCGAGCGUGACGGCGCGAGCAGGUGCGAAAGCAGGUCAUAGUGAUCCGGUGGUUCUGAAUGGAAGGGCCAUCGCUCAACGGAUAAAAGGUACUCCGGGGAUAACAGGCUGAUACCGCCCAAGAGUUCAUAUCGACGGCGGUGUUUGGCACCUCGAUGUCGGCUCAUCACAUCCUGGGGCUGAAGUAGGUCCCAAGGGUAUGGCUGUUCGCCAUUUAAAGUGGUACGCGAGCUGGGUUUAGAACGUCGUGAGACAGUUCGGUCCCUAUCUGCCGUGGGCGCUGGAGAACUGAGGGGGGCUGCUCCUAGUACGAGAGGACCGGAGUGGACGCAUCACUGGUGUUCGGGUUGUCAUGCCAAUGGCACUGCCCGGUAGCUAAAUGCGGAAGAGAUAAGUGC
rnacentral:rRNA from 1 species